rnacentral:rRNA from 1 species
UACGGGGGGGGCAAGCGUUGUUCGGAAUUACUGGGCGUAAAGGGCGCGUAGGCGGUUGGAUAAGUCAGCUGUGAAAACCACGGGCUUAACUCGUGGCCUGCAGUUGAGACUGUCUGGCUUGAGUGUGGGAGAGGAGAGUGGAAUUCCUGGUGUAGCGGUGAAAUGCGUAGAUAUCGAGAGGAACACCUGCGGCGAAGGCGGGUUGCUGGGCCGACACUGACGCUGAUGCGCGAAAGCCAGGGGAGCGAACGGG